GAUAGUGUGGCCGAGUGGUCUAUGGCUCUGGUUUUAGGCACCAGUCUCUUCGGAGGCAAGGGUUCGAAUCCCUUCACUGUCA
rnacentral:tRNA from 1 species